CAGUCUGUGCAUAUCAUCCUGAAUGUGCCUGAUCUUGUCUGAUCUCAGAGGCUAAGCAGGGUUGGGCCUGGCUAGUACUUAGAUGGGAGAGGAAAGGCAGACAAAAUAU
rfam:Gorilla gorilla gorilla genomic chromosome, chr11, whole genome shotgun sequence